rnacentral:rRNA from 1 species
CCUACGGGUGGCUGCAGUGGGGAAUAUUGGACAAUGGGGGGAACCCUGAUCCAGCGACGCCGCGUGAGUGAAGAAGUAUUUCGGUAUGUAAAGCUCUAUCAGCAGGGAAGAAAGAAAUGACGGUACCUGACUAAGAAGCCCCGGCUAACUACGUGCCAGCAGCCGCGGUAAUACGUAGGGGGCAAGCGUUAUCCGGAUUUACUGGGUGUAAAGGGAGCGUAGGCGGCGAUGCAAGUUAGAAGUGAAAGGUGGGGGCCUAACAUCACGACGGCAUUGGUAACGGAAUGGCUGGAGAGCGGCGAGGUAGGCGGACUAAGUUAAGUAGCGGGGAAAGGCAUAGAGAGAACUUAGAACAACGAUAGCGAAGUGAGCUUACCAGACUGAGUCUGACGCUGAUGCACGUGAGCAUGGGUAGCGAACAGGAUUAGAUACCCCAGUAGGC